UACGUAGGGGGCAAGCGUUGUCCGGAUUUAUUGGGCGUAAAGAGCGUGUAGGCGGCCAGACAGGUCCGCUGUGAAAUCCCGAGGCUCAACCUCGGGUCUGCAGUCGAUACGGGCGGACUGGAGUUCGGCAGGGGAGACUGGAAUUCCUGGUGUAGCGGUGAAAUGCGCAGAUAUCAGGAGGAACACCGGUGGCGAAGGCGGGUCUCUGGGCCGAUACUGACGCUGAGGAGCGAAAGCGUGGGGAGCGAACAGG
rnacentral:rRNA from 1 species